ACCUGGGUUUGACAUGCACCAGACGGUUGUAGAGAUACGUACCUCCCUUUGUGGUUGGUGUGCAGGUGGUGCAUGGUUGUCGUCAGCUCGUGUCGUGAGAUGUUGGGUUAAGUCCCGCAACGAGCGCAACCCUUGUCUUAUGUUGCCAGCACUUUGGGUGGGGACUCAUGAGAGACUGCCGGGGUUAACUCGGAGGAAGGUGGGGAUGACGUCAAAUCAUCAUGCCCUUUAUGCCCAGGGCUUCACACAUGCUACAAUGGUUAGUACAACGCGCUGCGAACCUGUGAGGGUGAGCGAAUCGCUGAAAGCUAAUCUCAGUUCGGAUUGGGGUCUGCAACUCGACCCCAUGAAGUCGGAGUCGCUAGUAAUCGCAGAUCAGCAAUGCUGCGGUGAAUACGUUCCCGGGCCUUGUACACACCGCCCGUCACGUCAUGAAAGUUGGUAACACCCGAAGCCCAUGGCCUAACCACCAUUUGGUGGGGGGAGUGGUCGAAGGUGGGAUUGGCGAUUGGGACGAAGUCGUAACAAGGUAGCCGUACCGGAAGGUGCGGCUGGAUCACCUCCUUU
rnacentral:ncRNA from 1 species